rnacentral:ncRNA from 1 species
GUUGUCCAACUGUUUACUAAAAACACCGCACUUUGCAGAAACGAUAAGUUAAAGUAUAAGGUGUGAACUCUGCUCCAUGCUUAAUAUAUAAAUUAUAUUAUUAAAAGAUAAUAUAAUUAAAUUUAGGUAAAUAGCAGCCUUAUUUUGAGGGUUCUAAGGUAGCGAAAUUCAUUGUCCACUAAUUAUGGUCCUGCAUGAAUGACGUAAUGAUACAAC